GCCUCCAGAGACUCGCCCCGUGUUGGGCUGCCGGGAGCUCGUCUUCAGAAACCUCUCCAAGAUCCUUCCCGCCGUCUGUCACGACAUCACCGACUGGGUGCCGGGGACCAGGGUGAAGGCCGCGCAGCUGCUGGCGGUGUUGCUCUUGCAUGCGGAGGACCACAGCACGCAGCACCUGGACACCAUCCUCCGGGUGCUGCCCCGCGCCUGCGCCGACGACGACCCGGCCGUGGUCCGCAGCUGCACCAGAUCUGCAGAGCUGGUUGGGGUGUUCGUCAGCCCAGAAGUGUUUCUGAAGCUGAUCUUGUCCACGCUGAAGAAGUCGCCCUCCGCCUCCGGCCUCCUGGUCCUCGCUUCUGUCAUCCGAGGCUGCCCUAGGGAGGCCCUCCAGCCGCACCUGAAGGUCAUCGCCGCAGAGCUGGCCCGGCCCCACAUCUGUCAAGGGUCUGAAAACGCUCGGGCUGAGGAACCAGCCGCAGUGAAAACCCAAGAUGCGCAUUCUGCCCCUUUCCUCACAGACUCAGACGUUUAGCAAACGGGACGAACACUCAGGUUUAGGCACAGGCACCAGACGCAGCCCUGUUCUCCCCGGGGCAGGAGAGUCUGGUGCAGCCGUGGUGACGGGAAGCAGUGCGAGCUUUCUGCAGUCCUUCCCCAGGAGCUGGGAGGACGGGCUGCGGACGUCUUUCAAGAACACACUGAGGCGUAGAAACUCCCCGUCAGCCAGACAGAGGAGCCCCGAGGGCACUGCCAGGCCGCUCCGCGCGGGGCCUCCUGUGCUGCAGGGAGGGGUCGAGGCAGGUGCUUCCCCAGGUGUGUCUGGCCAGUGCUGCACCUGGGACUGAGCUGAGGGAAUCGGAUCCUUUCCUUUGAAAUGUCUGUUUUGUGACAGGUAACUGAGCUGAGGAAAUAGUUUGAUACCAUACGAAUAGCUCAUUUAUUCCUGCUGAACGAGCAGAAACCAGGAGUGCAGGGGCGCGGUCGCCGUAGAAACGUCAGCCUCUAGCACUUUCUCCCGUAAAGUUUGACAACCUCAGGUGACACUGAGUUUCAGGAGCAGAAACCAAGAUAUCACUUUGGAACCUGUCGCCUCCCCCCGCCUCUGUGUCCCUCUGGGGUGCAGGUGAAGGGAACAUUCUCUGCUUAAGUGGGAAGAACUCCAUGAACGCUGAGGCCCAGCUUCGCAGAGACGGUGCCGCGCUCCCCGCAUGAGGCUCCUCACUGGCUCCGGGUCCGGCGCACCCCACGACCGCCAGCCCAGACAGCCGGCCCAUGCUAAUGGUGGCUCACGUCUCAGGAGCCGAAUCCCUUCCUAACUGGAAGUGAUCCCUCCAUAAGCGUUUAGUAUAGACCGUUCUAGAGAUGAGCUGAAAUCACGUCCUCAGAAACUGGGUGGCUGCCCGUCCGGGUCUAAAAGAAAUCGGGCCGUGGGACACGUGAGAAUGUGAAUUAAACCCUGGCCUGGCUUCCCCGGGAGAGCUGCAUGCCAUCGCUCGAGGCCGUCUCCCAGCCUGCGUGUGAGCGGUCGGGCGUGUGUGGGCCGCACUCCUCUGUGAUCCAGCGUGAAUUCUUUGUUUGAAGUCCCGCGAUUCAUGUCACUUGUGCGUGAGCCACAGAAGUCCAGAACCGCCUGUGCACGGGCCCUUGUUAGUGAGACUGCGUGCGUGUACGACUUCAGUGUCAGCCCACUGCUGCGUGACCGCCGCCCAGCCUUUCUGUCCUUUGUGACACCUGUGUGAGGCUCACUUGUGGAGGGACAUAUCUGAGGAGCGAACAUGGACCUGGGCAGUAAGGAGUCCUGCCCCACGGUCGAUGAGGCUGAAGUCCAGGAGGUGAGCGGCUCGCUGGAUGGACCCGGCCGAGGUGCCCCCUGUUGUCGCCGUCCAUCAGCAAGCAUGUCCUGAACCACAGA